AUUGAACGCUGGCGGCAGGCUUAACACAUGCAAGUCGAGCGAGCGGCGGACGGGUGAGUAAUGUCUGGGAACCUGCCUGAUGGAGGGGGAUAACUACUGGAACCGGUAGCUACUACCGCAUACCAUCAGAUGUGCCCCGAGGGGAUUAGCUAGUCGGUGGGGUAAUGGCUCACCUAGGCGACGAUCCCUAGCUGGUCUGAGAGGAUGACCGGCCACACUGGAACUGAGACACGGCCCAGACUCCUACGGGAGGCAGCAGUGGGGAAUAUUGCACAAUGGGCGAAAGCCUGAUGCAGCCAUGCCGCGUGAGUGAAGAAGGCCUUCGGGUUGUAAAGCACUGUCAGCGGGGAGGCGGUACUCGAAGAGGAAGCAACGGCUAACUCCGUGCCAGCAGCCGCGGUAAUAC
rnacentral:rRNA from 1 species